CACCAAACUGAGCCAACAAGCCUGAGUAAAGACCAAUGACGGCCGCAGCUUCUGCCUCCACCUCUUGCAAAUGAGUCUGUAUCGCAGCUGCAGACGCGCGCUCGGCGUCAAGUUCCUUGCGAAGGCAGUCGGCAAUGUCAUCGGCCUUCUCGGCCCGCUGCACAGCCAAGCCCCUGGCCCUCCCAGCCUCAGAGGCAUUCUUGCGAAGGAUGAUUGCCUCAGCCUCAACCUCCUCCUUCUCCUUAAGGCAAGCAGCCACAAUUUCUAAGGAAUCCCUCUCCUUCCUCAAAGCCUCCACCUCCUGUCGGGUUGAAGAGAAGUCCUUAAGCUCCUCCGACAUGCGGGCCUUCUCAGCCUCCAAAGUUUCAUUUUCAUUCUUCAAAGCCUCAAUGGCCUCAUUGCACCUUAUCAGCUCCUAGGAGCAGCGUUCCUCCAAGGCAGCAACCAUAUGAUGACCCUGGUCAGAUUAGCAAAAAAUCAGAAUCUACGCACAAAAGAUGACGAAGGAAGACAAAGCAAAAAAAACUCACAAGGCUAUGGUGCUCAAAUUGAACGCGGAGAAGCGUGUCAAAAUCCAUAUCAUGAAGCUUCCGGCGAAAACGAUCUGAAAAACAAAAAAUAGUAAGUCAAAAAAACAUAAGACAAAAAAACACAAGAGGCGGAGGCCGAAAAACAGACCUCCAACCAAGGAAUGGACUUCAUGCACUACGUUAGCCCAACCUGUGAUCGAUGAAUCGGAGGCACCUGCGCAACAUUAAAACACUGAAAAUUAGCCGGAGGUAAACAAAGCACCCAGGAACAAUCACAAGAAAAAUAUUGUUCAAAAUUACUGGGGCCAAUAACGUUGGCAGACGAAGGCCUGGUGCCUAAUCCAGCCGGUGCAGGAAACCGCGGUAGAGGAACAACAAGCCCAUCAUGCGCGAUGCUAGCUCCUGCGGCCAGUUCCUCCACACUAGUGAUUGCCCCAAUGGUAUCCACUACAAAAAAGGGGGCAAAGGUCAAAACUCAAACCUUUCAAACACACUAAAGCAUAAAAGCAACAAAACCAAAAACUCACCCAUGUAUAGCG
rnacentral:lncRNA from 1 species